rnacentral:misc_RNA from 1 species
AGCUUGAUUAUUCCCUCAAGCCAUUGGGGAUUAAAUAAUGACUACAAGAAAAACUAAAGAGAAAAAUAUACUUACAGACACUAUUUAGGCAUAAAAUAAUCUUCCUCAUUACAGACUGAUUUCCUAACAUAGUGUAAUUUCCUAAUCUAAAGCAUAGUUACAAUAAUUAUUUCAACAGAAAAUAAGAGAAAAGGAAGUUAUUCCUAUUUAAUAUUUGUUA